ACUUAAGUAAUUUAAUUAAAAAUAUUGAUUUGUGGUAUCAGUUAUGCAUUAUUUGUGCCUUAAGUU
rnacentral:tRNA from 1 species